GCCAGUGUGGUUCAGUGGUUUGAGUGCUAAAAUACAACUCUGGAGGCUAGGAUUCAAACCCUUGCUUUGCCA